UUUCUACUGCCCUGUUCGAGUGGACCGAUUAUUUUUGGACCAGAACUUUGUAGAUAGGGACCCCAGAGUCCACGCGUGGAUACCAGGCCUCCCAUUGCGAGGAAGGUAGAAAGUGUUGGCAGGAGACCCACCUGUGUAAACAGGCUCCAAAAAUGAUCCAUGCCGCACGGCAGGGCGGUGAUUCA
rnacentral:other from 1 species